UACGUAGGGGGCAAGCGUUGUCCGGAAUUAUUGGGCGUAAAGAGCUCGUAGGCGGUCUGUCGCGUCGGCUGUGAAAACCCGGAGCUCAACUCCGGGCCUGCAGUCGAUACGGGCAGACUGGAGUUCGGCAGGGGAGACUGGAAUUCCUGGUGUAGCGGUGAAAUGCGCAGAUAUCGGGAGGAACACCGGUGGCGAAGGCGGUUCUCUGGGCCUGUUCUGACGCUGAGGAGCGAAAGCGUGGGGAGCGAACAGG
rnacentral:rRNA from 1 species